CCCUCCAACACGUUGCCCUAUAUAUACUAGUAAAGAAUGAGAAAGUUUUGUGAGAAGUUAUACAAGAAAAGAAUGAGAAAGUUUUGGGAGAAAAACUCUUUGAGUUAUAUAUAAAGGAGAAAUAUUUUUGAAAAGGGCACGUGUGUGGAGGAGAUUAUAUUUUGAGGCCUAGACCCGCAGAGAUUCGAGACCCUUCAAGAUUUAGCUCGGUACCGUAGCUCGAGAUGGAAGCGCACCCGCUGGUUCGCUUAGUGACAGCGGUAUCUGUCUCUAUGUCAGUCUAAGUGCACUUCAAUUAAUUAGCUGAUGGGGGUGGGGCCUGUGGCCACAGGUAAACCGCGUUACUCACCCAAGGUCAACGCAUCGACCGCGCAACCCUACUUACACAGGGCGUAAUAGUGUAUUGGCAUAUAAUAUGACUAAUGAUUAUUUCAAAUAUAUAUAUAUAUUAAUUGUGUAUAAAAAGGGAGUUUUUGACAAAUGUUUUGGAGAUUUAUAAAAGGGAGUUUUUACACAAAUGUUUUGGAGAUAUUUAAAAGAAUUUUUGACAAAUGUUUUGGAGAUUUAUAAAAGGGAGUUUUUACACAAAUGUUUUGGAGAUAUUUAAAAGAAGUUUUUUUUUUUGACAAUUGUUUGAAGAUUUUCAAAAGAAUUUAACUCAACUGUUUUAUGGUUGAGGAUUCCUUACUGAGCAUGUUUUUUUGUGCUCACCCCUUAUUUUGUUUUUGUUUUCAGGUUAUGAACAGAGAGACGUAGGUGGCCGGGAUGGGAUCUAGGAAUGCAUUAGGACAUUUCAUUUAUAUUACCCCAUAAUUUUCAGUUAUUGUAUUUUUACAAUUAAAUGACCGUUUCCGCAUUUAUUAAAAACUCUGAGAUUUUGAAACCA